AGAUGGUGAACUAUGCCUGAAUAGGGUGAAGCCAGAGGAAACUCUGGUGGAAGCUCGCAGCGAUUCUGACGUGCAAAUCGAUCGUCAAAUUUGGGUAUAGGGGCGAAAGACUAAUCGAACCAUCUAGUAGCUGGUUCCCUCCGAAGUUUCCCUCAGGAUAGCUGGAGCCCGUUGGCAGUUUUAUCAGGUAAAGCGAAUGAUUAGAGGUCUUGGGGCUGCAACAGCCUCAACCUAUUCUCAAACUUUAAAUGGGUAAGAGGCUCGGCUUGCUUAAUUGAAGUCGGGCGACGAAUGCCGGGGCUCCCAGUGGGCCAUUUUUGGUAAGCAGAACUGGCGAUGUGGGAUGAACCAAAUGCCGGGUUAAGGUGCCCGAAUCGACGCUCAGCA
rnacentral:rRNA from 2 species